rnacentral:rRNA from 1 species
GAUGAACGCUGGCGGCGUGCUUAACACAUGCAAGUCGAACGGAAAGGCCCAAGCUUGCUUGGGUACUCGAGUGGCGAACGGGUGAGUAACGCGUGGGUGAUCUGCCCUGCACUUCGGGAUAAGCCUGGGAAACUGGGUCUAAUACCGGAUAGGACCACUUCUUGGAUGUUGUGGUGGAAAGUUUUUUCGGUGUGGGAUGAGCUCGCGGCCUAUCAGCUUGUUGGUGGGGUAAUGGCCUACCAAGGCGUCGACGGGUAGCCGGCCUGAGAGGGUGUACGGCCACAUUGGGACUGAGAUACGGCCCAGACUCCUACGGGAGGCAGCAGUGGGGAAUAUUGCACAAUGGGCGCAAGCCUGAUGCAGCGACGCCGCGUGGGGGAUGACGGCCUUCGGGUUGUAAACUCCUUUCGCUAGGGACGAAGCGUUUUGUGACGGUACCUGGAGAAGAAGCACCGGCUAACUACGUG